rnacentral:rRNA from 1 species
UAAUAACGCCUACAGUCAUGAUGGCUAGCGAUGAAGACUGAUCGUCCAACAUGGACUGAACCGCCUAAUUUCUACGGAGGCAGCAAGAGGUAAUUCUUCACACAAUGGACGCUAGUCGAUGAGCACGCCGCGGGAGUGAAAGGAGGUUUCGGAUCGUAAGCCUGUUGUGGAAAGAAAGGAUAGGGCCAGUACCUGUCUUUAUGGACGGUAUCAACCAGAAAGUCACGGCUAACUACGUGCCAGCAGCCGCGGUAAUACGUAGGUGGCAAGCGUUGUCCGGAUUUAUUGGGCGUAAAGCGAGCGCAGGCGGAAUGAUAAGUCUGAUGUGAAAGCCCACGGCUCAACCGUGGAACUGCAUCGGAAACUGUCAUUCUUGAGUGCAGAAGAGGAGAGUGGAACUCCAUGUGUAGCGGUGGAAUGCGUAGAUAUAUGGAAGAACACCAGUGGCGAAGGCGGCUCUCUGGUCUGCAACUGACGCUGAGGCUCGAAAGCAUGGGUAGCGAACAGGAUUAGAUACCCUGGUAGUCCAUGCCGUAAACGAUGAGCGCUAGGUGUUGGGGACUUUCCGGUCCUCAGUGCCGCAGCAAACGCAUUAAGCGCUCCGCCUGGGGAGUACGACCGCAAGGUUGAAACUCAAAGGAAUUGACGGGGGCCCGCACAAGCGGUGGAGCAUGUGGUUUAAUUCGAAGCAACGCGAAGAACCUUACCAGGUCUUGACAUCCUGUGCAACAGCUAGAGAUAGCUGGUUCCCUUCGGGGACGCAGAGACAGGUGGUGCAUGGCUGUCGUCAGCUCGUGUCGUGAGAUGUUGGGUUAAGUCCCGCAACGAGCGCAACCCUUGUCUUUAGUUGCCAUCAUUAAGUUGGGCACUCUAAAGAGACUGCCGGUGACAAACCGGAGGAAGGUGGGGAUGACGUCAAGUCAUCAUGCCCCUUAUGACCUGGGCUACACACGUGCUACAAUGGGCAGUACAACGAGAAGCAAACCCGCGAGGGUAAGCGGAUCUCUUAAAGCUGUUCUCAGUUCGGACUGCAGGCUGCAACUCGCCUGCACGAAGCUGGAAUCGCUAGUAAUCGCGGAUCAGCACGCCGCGGUGAAUACGUUCCCGGGCCUUGUACACACCGCCCGUCACACCAUGGAAGUCUGCAAUGCCCAAAGUCGGUGGGAUAACCAUUUUGGAGUCAGCCGCCUAAGGCAGGGCAGAUGACUGGGGUGAAGUCGUAACAAGGUAGCCGUA